ACCUGUUCCAAUUUGCAUCGCUUUUUAGGUCCUCCUUGGUACAUUUUUAUACUUAGAUGCUGCAUUCAGUGAUAGUAAAGAUUGGGUACCGCGAUGCAAAGUUCAGGAUGGGAUGUCUCACGACCAAGGAUGGCAGAGGACUCCACACCGGGCUGCUUCAAAAUAGCCGCCACAGCAGAAUGAUUGGUGCAACCAUAGAAGUUAUUUGUUCUGUCAAUCCCGUAUUUCCGCCGCUCUUGCCGGGGACACCUGGCGCGGCGGGCGCUCCAACAACACUUAUCGUAGUGGAGUAAUCUCAGCAUGACUUUCGCCGUUGUCUGGUUUGUGUCCAAACGAAGCAUACCUACCUUGCAGUCAAUGGUCCAGUCCAGACAUAGCCAAGGAGAGUGAUUGAGGAGUGCACGGUGAAGGAAUAUUCUCGUCCUGAAGGAGUUUGUGUGGGAAUGCAGAGAGCUGGGCUGAUAGGAAUAUACUGCACAAGAUAGGUGGAUGGCAGGCAGAAGGCAGAUGCAUGUGUGGUGCACUGUGAACCGUGCCAGGUGUUGGAACACUCCAACAGGUAACACGUACUUGCCUGGAUGGAGAUGACUCCCACAGUGGAAUCACACUUCAGAAGGUCUAUCAUAGAGAAGGGAAAAUUGUAGUCAACUUUGAAAAGAACAUUUCACUUUCAAUAACAUAUAAGAAAUAUGUCCA